rnacentral:rRNA from 1 species
AUACGUAGGGGGCGAGCGUUGUCCGGAAUGCUUGGGCGUAAAGGGCGCGUAGGCGGCGCGGUAAGUCUGGAGUGAAAGUCCUGCUUUCAAGGUGGGAAUUGCCUUGGAUACUGCCGCGCUUGAGUGCAGGAGAGGUUAUCGGAAUUCCCGGUGUAGCGGUGAAAUGCGUAGAGAUCGGGAGGAACACCAGUGGCGAAGGCGGGUAACUGGACUGCAACUGACGCUGAGGCGCGAAAGUGUGGGGAGCAAACAGGAUUAGAUACCCUGGUAGUCCACACUGUAAACGAUGAAUGCUAGGUGUAAGAGGUAUCGACCCCUUUUGUGCCGGAGUCAACACAAUAAGCAUUCCGCCUGGGGAGUACGGCCGCAAGGUUGAAACUCAAAUGAAUUGGCGGGG